GUAAGCGCUUUACCACUGCCUUCACUCCAAGACCUCACUGUCUGUGAGUGGCACUAUCAACAGGUGUGGCUUUGUUGGAGUAGGUGUGGCCUCACUGGAGGAAACAUGUCACUGUAAAAGGGACAAGCUUUGAGGUUUCAUAUAUGCUCAGGCCACGCCCAGUGUCUCAGACCACUUCCUGUGGCCUGUGAGUCAAGACGUGAGAACCCUCAGCUCCUUCUCUAGCACCGUGAAUGCCUGCACGCGAAUCCUCAGCUCCUUCUCUAGCACGGCAUCUGCCUGCAUGCUGCCGCCUUGCUUCCUGCCAGGAUGACAAUGGACUAAACCUCUGAACUGUAAGUGAGCCACAAGAAUGAAACGUUUCCCUUUGCGAGAUCUGCUGCGGUCCUGGUGUCUCUUCGCAGCAGUAGAAACCCUAACGAAGACAAUUUUCAUGCAGCGCAUCGUUUUCCAAAGAUGUUAUUGUUAGAGGAACAACGAAUAAAGUUUUCUUCUUGUCCUGUAUCUAUUAGCUGGCCGUCCAGUCUGAUUUGAUAGUCUGAAAACAUCCCAGCAAAGCGUUCUUACUGCUUUCUGAGCUCGGUUCUCCGGGCCGAUGCUUUGUUGAUGUCUAUGAGGCCUGUGUUAGAAAGUGCAGAAACCAAGCCUAGCGCCCACUAGAAAACCCGGGUGAAGGCAGAAAUCAAGAGCUGGAGACACUGGUGGCACAGGUGACCACUCCUGGAGGCCCCACAGACCGGUGUCCCCACCGCUUUCCUCACAAUGGUUCUCCUAACAGAACUUCAGCAAGGUAAUAUCCUGAUUCGCAGAGACCUUGGAUAAUGACCAACUCAAGAAAACUACCAGAUCCACCACCCUAAACUUUAUCAUUUGCUAAUGGGUCAAGCAUUCCAUUGUCGUUUAUUGUCGGUACUUUGUGGCAAACUAUGGAUUUGCGCAUUAACCAUAGUGAAGUAAGAAGCUCUUCUGAUGAAGGUUCGACAUAGCUAUGGCAAUACAGGAUUAUGGAUAUAAACUAUGAGUAUAAACAUGAGUACCUAGAAGACAGCUUAAGAGCAUGACCAUCAGCAACGCAGUAUCAGUAAGUUCUCCAUAGAGCCAAUGACACCCAGAACCACAUGCUUUUCAUGAAAUUUACAGGACCAAAAGUGUGAGCUCUUUUCUGUGUGGAUCAGGUUUCAAAUCCAGUCAAAGCAACUGGCUAGCCCAAUAGCAACCAAGUCAUAAUUGCACUAGAGGACACAUACUGCCUAUCUAGUCAUUACGAGAGUUCACAGGGCACAGAGCUGGAUAAGAAACUUUAUGACUUCCCUCCCCAGAACCCUUCACAGAAACCUUUGGAAUAAGAAAAGAUAGUCUGGAAGAAGGUUACAGAUUAGUUUUAGCUUUUAUUACCUACAUCUUAUUACCACUGUGAAUGGUAUCUUCAGCAAUACAGUCCUACCUAGUUCUGGUAGGAAACCAAGAGUAAUUACAAUAGCCUCUUUUUAAAAUUUUUUUGAAGGGGAGUCUAUUGACCACCAGCUGGCCACUAUUCCACACCUGGGAAGAACAUUAUUAAUCCAUAGAGGCCACAUCUGGUAUUUUGUUUUUAGAUUAUGUUUUCAAUAAACUUACAAACUAGUAGAUUUCCAUAUGGCUUUUUAACAUAUCUUUAGUUUGCAUUACAUCUCUCUCCUCUCCCCUCCUCUUUCCUACCCUCCUACUCCCUUCCUAUUUAAACCAUUCCACUCACAGUGUCCCCACAUCUUCAUUUUAAUACUUUAAAAAUAAUUUGAAAAUUUCAAAUGUUUUCAAAGUGAACAUGAUAAAAAUAGUUAGCCAACAUAUCUCCAAGUCACUCAACUUUUGUAAUUACCAACUUCUGAACUCUUUGCUUUAUCUAUCACCUAUGCAAUCGUAUUUCUUGUGUACUACUUUGACUGGUUUCUUCUUUAUUCAAGAGCACAUUUUACUGCAUAUUAGUUAUUUAAGUACUCCCUUCUUCUCAAUUGCAUUAAAAUACUCCAUUUAUAGUACAAGGAGAAAUAUAGAUUAUUUCAGUAAAUGGCUUGUCUGCAUGUUUGAUUAAUUAAGGCUAUUAUUUGGGGUUUGUCCUUAGUAUCAGUAAAAAUAGCAUUUCUCUGAUGUGAAAUUUUGCAGUCGGUUUGUUGUUCUGCUGCCUCUUUUGUAGAGUCAGCUGAAUAUAAUUGGAAUUGGGAAGAAUAUAGACUACAGAGAACACAGGACUCUGGUCCCAUGAUUAUGAGGCCACUGCUCAGCCGUGCUUGGCAGAAAUUUUUAGAUGUGUAGUGAGGAGAAACGAAGCAUAAAUCACCUCAGGAGAAAAAUCUACAGCUAAAGAUUGGUGAGAUAAUGUUAUCAGAGAAAUAAAUGGAAAAAACACAAAAAAAGGCAACCCAAUUUCUGGAUAUUCAAUAGUGUUCUUCAUGGUGGUCCUAUAUUUUUCCUACUCCUGAAUAGCACACCCACCCUGUAAUUCAUAUUUAUGAACCACUCUCCAUCUGCAUUGGGCUCUACAGUAGACAUAGUGCAUAAAAUUCAGGCUUACUCACAUACUACACUCCUGCUUGCAGCUCCAUGGCUUCUGAAGAACUGCUGAACAUUCUUUCCCGGUUGGGCGUUAUUUAUCUGUAAACCACAACCACUAGCACAUGGCAUGCUAAAGAAGAAAAUUGUGUCUUCUCUUCACUUGCAGAAGUUUUCUUUCUUUUCUGUGCUUUCUCCUAGAACUUUGAGUUGCGACUUUUAUAAUUAGGUCUGUGUUCCAUCUCACUUAUUUUCAUUAUGGUGUCAGUGACAGAGCAGGUUCAAUUUUUGUGUCUGGUUGUUCAAACUGUAACUUUGAAUCCGUAAGCAUGAUAUAGGUUUCUUUUCUUGAUGUUUUCCUUAAUUUUCCCUAUAUGUAAUAUACAUAACAUUGUAUUGUAUUGUAUUGUAGAUUCAUAUUAUAGUAUUGCAGAUUUUAUACUGUACAUUACAGAUUUUAUCCAAUGUAUGUUCUGAAUUUAUUCAUAAGAUA